rnacentral:rRNA from 1 species
AGGGCACCACCAGGAGUGGAGCCUGCGGCUUAAUUUGACUCAACACGGGAAAACUCACCCGGCCCGGACACUGGAAGGAUUGACAGAUUGAGAGCUCUUUCUUGAUUCAGUGGGUGGUGGUGCAUGGCCGUUCUUAGUUGGUGGAGUGAUUUGUCUGGUUAAUUCCGAUAACGAACGAGACUCUAGCCUGCUAAAUAGAUCGUCGGCUUACAAACGCCGGCGAGACUUCUUAUAGGGACAGGCGGUGGUUCAACCCCACCAAACAAAACAAUAACAGGUCUGUGAUGCCCUUACAUGUCCGGGGCCGCACCCCCCCUACACUGGAGUGAUCGACUUGCUUUUUCUUCCUACUCUGUCAAGAGUGGGGAACCCAAUGAACCUUCUUCCUGAUUGGGAUAGGGGAUUGUAAUUAUUUCUCUUGAACGAAGAAUUCCUUCCAAGCACGAGUCAUAAGCUCGCGUUGAUUAAUUCCCUGCCCUUUGUAUGUCCGCCCGUCGGUACUACCUAUUGAAUGAUUGA